CAAAAAAUUCUCCAGAAAGAAAAUCUAGGGUGCCGGUGUAGACAGUCAGAUUCAAUUUCACCAGAGGUUAAACCUUCUUCCCCCAAUUAGCAUCGAUUUCACCGGUGAGAAGAUAUUAGAUUUCCCCGGCGAGCCUUGAAACCUUUCAUCCGACGAGCGUCAUUUUGCUGCCUUGUUUUCUCCGCCAGUGAAAUUUUCUGGCGACGAGGACCACCGCUGCUUCACCAUCCUCUGUCAUCUUCUCUGCCAAAACUCCAAAGUAUCUAACAUCUUUAAUUAAUUUCUGGGUUAUGGAUUCUUCUAGCAGUAAGCGCAACCAUCCACGACUACUCUACAAAAAAGGCAAAGCUCCUAGCCAGCCGAGGAGUAUGAGCUAUUAUAGCUAUUUGUCAAAUUUUCAAAUGGUAGAAGGUGUGGGACUUGAUGGAUGGGAUGAUGACGUUGAUGAUGAUGAUGUAACAAACUUGGUUCAUGAUAUCAGUCACAAUUGUGUAGAUCGUCGAUUUUGGGAUGUCAUGAAGAACCUCCAACUACUACAAGAAAGAAGCGCCCUACAUCUGUUCCCAAGACUGAUAUUAAGAGUUCAAAAAAGAAGGCUAAUGAUACAAAAACUGUUGGAAUUCAGGAAGACUGUUUAAUUCUCUGCACUUAUUUCCUUAGUGAAAUUGUAGUCUUAUUUUGUAGUCACAUCCACGUAAUUAGACGUAGAAGAAAAUAACAAGAUUAGAUUGUAAAUAGCACAAAACAUAAUUAAUACAAGUUGAGAAAAAGUA